rnacentral:misc_RNA from 1 species
AAGUCGUAACAAGGUUUCCGUAGGUGAACCUGCGGAAGGAUCAUUAGCGUGUGGUGCUGCGGCAUGCUGCAUGCUGCGGUGCCGAGACACGGUCUCCCUCGGGAGGCUGUGUUGGCCAGUGUUUUGAACGAGCGAGGGGCUGUGCUUGGCGGGACGAUGGCUGCGUGACGUGGGCGUUGUUGCCCUGGCAUGCAGUCACACCCGCCAGCAGUAUUCCACCCAUACCACCACCGAGUCUCUGAUCACACACAGCAGUUUAUUACAACUGCCGGCAACGGAUCACUCGGCUCUC